CCGGAAGCUGUGGCUGUUCCUUUGUUGGGUACAUAGGGGACAGAUGAGCUGGAAAGUGAGGAAAGACAUGUUACUGCUCCCUUGCUUCCAUGGCAACCGGAAUGUAACUGAAAUCCAUGUCUUAGCCAAACAUCGUCUACUCGUCAAAUAAUGAAGGAACAAAAGCCCAUAUACUUUUUGAAAUGCAGACAAGAAGCUCAAUCCUCAGAGACAGCCUCCAUGUCAAAGGUGUUGAACUGAAGUACCCAUUUCUGCUAGGCAUGGUGCCAACAUUUUCCAGACCAUUUAAGGCAUUGCUUAGGGAGUUGAUGUCACUUGAAGAACAAAAGAAUGUGAAUGUCCUCAAGAUGCAUACAGUCUACAGUCCCAAAACCCAGAGGCUGAGCAUGAAGGCUGUCAAGGGUCUCUGACACAUGUGAGUGGGUUGCUUUCUCUGGCAAAAACAAA
rnacentral:lncRNA from 1 species